CUUAAAUUUCACCGUAGUGCAGCCACUCUACUCCAACAGCAUGGGCAAUGUUAUACCAUAACAGCGUUCAGAAGAACACCAGGCCACUGACAACACUAACAGCUUUGAAUUUCCUCUCCAGCAUCAGCAAGUCCC
rnacentral:lncRNA from 13 species